AGAUUCUUCAGCGUCGCGUCAAUCGGCUUGAUAAACAGAUCGUUAUUUUUCAGCCGCACAUCGCCUUUGGCGGUGGUCAUCUCGCCAUCAAGCGGGAUAGCAAGAUGUAAGCGAGCGCUCACAUUACCAUCAAGCUGCAGUUCAUCCAGCGCCGAGCCGAGCGUAUCCUUCAGCGGGGUCUGUUUGAAAUAAGGGCCGACCUCUUUACCAGGGCCGUUAACAUCGGCAUCGAUAAACAGUUUUUCAUGGGAAUAGUCGGGGAUCACCGCGUCAAGGUUGCUGGCAGUAACGUUGCCCAGCAUCGCUUUAUCCGCCUUCAUCCACAGGCCGUUAUUGACGAAGUUAAGGUUGAUAUCCAGUCCGGUCAGCGCCGGCCAGUCCGGCUGGAAGGCGAAAGUCGCGUUCUUCAGCGGUACC
rfam:Enterobacter aerogenes KCTC 2190, complete genome.